rnacentral:rRNA from 1 species
UACGAAGGGGGGCUAGCGUUGUUCGGAAUUACUGGGCGUAAAGCGCGUGUAGGCGGCUUGGCAAGUCAGAUGUGAAAGCCCUCGGCUUAACCGAGGAAGUGCGUCUGAAACUGCUGAGCUUGAGUGUCGGAGAGGAUGGCGGAAUUCCGCAAGUAGAGGUGAAAUUCGUAGAUAUGCGGAGGAACACCGGUGGCGAAGGCGGCCAUCUGGACGACUACUGACGCUGAGACGCGAAAGCGUGGGGAACAAACAGG